UCGUGGCACCGCCCUUGAGCUAUCAGAAGGUUUCUGAGUUGACGGUUGCCCCCUCCCCCGGGCCUCCCACCCAGGUGUCUGUCAAGGUCGCUGUAAACCAAUCUCGUCCAUAUGGCUCUAGAAUAAAACGAAACGCUGUUAUACAGAUUAUCUGCGAAGGGUGAAGACGGAGUGAAAAGCAAGCAAGAGAGAAGAUGAAAAGAGACGUUUAGGGGUAGGGGGCUAAGAGUGUGAAACAAAAAGAUCUCUCGGCCUGUGGAGCCAGUGGACCAGGCACUGCGUUGACUGCCUAGCUUCAAAAUACCCUUGGAAGUAGUGGGCAAAGGCAAAGAGAAGGUGAAAAAACACUGCAUCCCUUGGCAGUGGUCCAGCUCUGUGUCCCUCGAAUUUAUAAUCUGACCUUGUGUGGGGGUUGCUAUUGUUUCUUCAUUCAUUCCCCUUGGUAUGUACUCAAUGGACAUGAAACUGAGCAAAGUGAAGGACAAGGAAAUCUGCAUUCUAUGGGCUCGCAAAAAGUUGGACAUGCCUUAGCGAGUGAAUAAUAAUCCCCCUGGGAUUUGACUCCUUGUUCCUGAAGUCUCCCAGAUGCGUGGCAGUUAGAAUGUACAGUCAACACUUGUUCUUUGGUCUACGCGGUGAAAAAGCGGAGAGCGGAGAGGUCAUUCAUUGUCUACAAGACUUUAAACUCUAAGAUAAAAAUGGUUGAAAAAUUUAGAAAAAAAUUCAAAGCAAAAAAAUCUUGAAGAGAAAAUCUAGAAGUCUGUUGACAGCUUAAUAAUUGACUGCAAAGAUUUGAGAUGAGUUUGUGUAGCUACUCCAAUACUGUGACCUUGGACAAGUAAAUGAACCUACCCUCCGUUUCUUCCUGUGAAGAAGAGUGCAAUUACUAAACUUUUUAGUGGGGAAGACCAGUAAUGCUCGCUAGUGAAUCCUAAGCACUUAGCCAGAUGCGCAGGUAUAAACUCAUUAAAUCAAUGAAUGGAUGAAUGAAGGCCUAAUAGGAGUAUAGAAAGGAUUGAAUGAGAAUGAUCAGAGUGAACCUGGCAAUUUAGCACACAAACAAGAAACUCCAACUGAAAAACUCAGUCUCUAAAAUGAAAGUAUUUUUAUGUAUUUAAAAGGAAAUGUUAAAAAUAUGAUAUGCUUUUUAUUCACCAUGCAAAACCUCUCUCUGUCUGGCUCAUGUACUCCUUCCCUUUUCAUCAUUAUGUUCUCAAUUCUUUUGCCUCGAAGGUAAUUGGGUUAAAUCAUCGCAACCAAGAAUAUCAUUCUAUCUUAAAACUUGUGAAGAGGAGACCACAGGCUAACUAAGGGCCUGGGAUAAAGAAGUUUCCCCAGGUUCACAGGCUGAUCUGAGGAUUAAGUAAAAUAAUACGGAGAAGAUUUAGUAAGAUAAUGUAUGUGAAGCUUACAGUGGCCUAACUCACAGGAAGAGCUAAAGAGCCUCUUGAGGUGAAAAAGUUGGCUUAAAGCUCAACAUUCAGAAAAGUAAGAGCAUGGCAUCCGGUCCCACCACUUCAUGCCCAAUAGAUGAGAAAACAAUGGAAACAGUGAGAGACUUUAUUUUCUUGGGCUCCAAAAUCUCACUGCAGAUGGUGAUUGCAGCUGUGAAAUUAAAAGAUGCUUGCUCCUUGGAAGACAAGCUAUGACCAACCUAGACAGCAUAUUAAAAAACAGACAUUACUUUGCUGACAGAAGUCUGUCUAGUCAAAACUAUGGUUUUUCUAGUAGUCAUGUAUGGAUGUGAGAGUUGGACUAUAAAGAAAGCUGAGUGCCGAAGAAUUGGUGCGUUUAACCUGUGGCAUUGGAGAAGACUCUUGAGAGUCCCUUGGACUGUAAGGAGAUCCAACCAGUCAGUCCUAAAGGAAAUCAGUCCUGAAUAGUCACUGGAAGGACUGAUCCUGAAGCUGAAACUCCAAUACUUUGGCCACCUGACGUGAAGAACUGACUCACUGGAAAAGAAUUCUGAUGCUGGGAAAGAUUGAAAGCAGGAGGAGAAGGGGAUGACAGGGAAUGAGAUGGUUGGAUGGCAUCACCUAUUCAAUGGACUUGAGUAUGAGUAAACUCUGGGGGUUGGUGAUGGACAGGGAAGCCUGGUGUGCUGCAGUCUAUGGGGUCUCAAAGAGUCCCGACUGAGCGACUGAACUGAACUGA